rnacentral:rRNA from 1 species
UGCGGAAGGAUCAUUACUGAAAUGAACCUUGAGGCUGUCGCUGGCCCAUCUGGGCAUGUGCACGUCUCUGGUCAUUACCAAUUCCACCUGUGCACACUUGUAGACACUUGGGAAUGAGAGACUUUGACCAGUCUCUUGAGAGAAUUGAAAUCUGGGUGUCUAUGCCAUUUUACCAAACACUAGUUGCAUGUUCAUAGAAUGAUUAUUUGAUUGAAUAUAAAUACAACUUUCAACAACGGAUCUCUUGGCUCUCGCAUCGAUGAAGAACGCAGCGAAAUGCGAUAAGUAAUGUGAAUUGCAGAAUUCAGUGAAUCAUCGAAUCUUUGAACGCACCUUGCGCUCCUUGGCAUUCCGAGGAGCAUGCCUGUUUGAGUGUCAUUAACACCUCAAGACCUGUCUGCUUUUGAUAGGUAUUGGAUUUUGGGAGUUGCAGGCUGUUUCAGAUAUAGCUUGCUCUCCUUGAAUGUAUUAGUGGAGAAAAGCUGUUGAACUCCAUUGGUGUGAUAAAAUCUAUCAAUGCCAGGAGCAACAUCAAGUGGUCUCUGCUGUCUAACCCUAACUGUCUGACUCACUUGACCUCAAAUCAGGUAGGACUACCCGCUGAACUUAAGCAUAUCA